rnacentral:lncRNA from 1 species
AUGGCACAGAGCAGCCUUUUGGUGUGUCUUUCCUGCGAGGUUUCUUCUGCUGCUGCUCCUUCUGAUUCUCCGCACAGAGAACCUCUUCCUUGUCUUCGUCACCCUUCAUCACCGGAUCCCCGUCCACCACCGAGCUCUCCGGGCCCUCCUGGUCUGUCACACAGGCAGAAAAAAAUGUUACUGCCGUCAACCAACUUCACCACCGUUGAAUAAGUCAGUUUUGUUUGUUUCCCAGUACUGUAUCUUGCAGGUGGUCAGUAUUUACAAAAAUACUUGAGUAUGAUUUAUUUUUCCUUUCCUCAAAACUAUCCAGCUGUCACUGCCUUGUUCUCCAUAUUCUUACCAGCCAGUAUUUUACUGGUACCAUGUUCAUACAUUAAUAUUACAGUGUAAAAUUAUUUACAACAGCAUUAAUAAAAUAAUAAUCAUCAUCAUAAUCAUCCUGCCUGCAAUUUACUGAAAAGGGCAAAAAUAAAUUAAUUUUAUGAAUCAUCUUUGUCUGAUUAUUCUUUACUUGCUAUUCAGCAUCUGUAUCUUAAACAUUGGGUCAAUAUAAUUUCUAUAAUAUUGUUAUCAUUAUUACUCUGUGCUUACAGUGUUUGCUCUCUUGUGUCAUCAGUCGAUGUUCAGCUUCCAAGGUUGACCUCAUACAGCUUGUCGUCAUCUCUGAGGUCCUCUGGGCUUUCUACACAGAUCACAUAACACACGUGCGCAUACACACACACACACACACACACACACACACACACACACACACACAUUCUUAAUCCAUUAUUCAUUAGUGGAUCUUAUCACAAAAGAAGAGGCUCUUCAGGGCGAUGUGUGUGUGUGUGACACAUUUGAUUUAGUCUUUCUUUGUUUAAACUUUCACAAAUGCAUCAACAAUAGCUUUAAAAUCAUUAAGGGCAACCAGCAGCUCCUUUUCUUCUGUGUCUUCUGUGUAAGAUCAUGAUCAUAUCCCUGCUUUCAUAGCUUUACAUUUUCAACUUGACCAAAUAUAAAUCAUACUCAUACAUACAAUUUUCCAUAAUGGACAAUGAUGACAGCUGGCAUGGCACAUUAAAGUGACACUGACGGAAAGCAAAAACAAAACUUAACACAAAAAGUGGCUGCAAAUCAAUAAAACAGAAGCAAAGAAAAUGUUUUAAAAAGCACACAAAGUUUGAACUGAAAGAUGUCUAAAAAUCAAAAUAGGAAUUGAAAACCGAGCGGCCAUAAAGAGUCAGUGUGUGUUCAUCACUUACCUCAGUCUCGGCAGUGUGACCCAGACAGACUGGAGCUGUGUGACUCUGGGUUAUGAAGGUUGGAGGAGGAGCACCCUCUCCAAUCUGCAUCAAUUAUCUUCCAUAGUGACCCCCCCCCCCCACCCCUUUCUCUCUCACUCACUCACUCACUCACACACACACACACACACACACGCACACACACACACACACACACACACACACACACACACACACACACACACACACACACACACCACUGUCUAAUGUCUUUUUGUGAUCUUAAUGCAACAUUGCCAACUAUUAGUGCUGUUGGAAAAUGUAAAAUAAACAGUUUGACAUGUUUUUAGGGUAACAACAGAUGUAUAGAAGAAUAUCAUCUGCAUAACUGCGAUUCCAUCGACCUUUGAAACCAAUCAUCAUCAACAAUAAAGGGACUCAUGGACAAAGCAAGUUAAGUGAUAUUGUUGUAUAUUCUGAGAGAGGCAUUGUGUUGUGUAACCAUCUCAGUCACAGCUUUAUUUCUAGUGUUAUUGAGACCAAUUGAUGAAGCAGUGUGUAGAAAACGAACAGGAGCGACAGAUUGUUUUCUCUUCUUGUACAUGAGGUCCGUUUCCUACAAAUAAAACCCUUUAGAUGCUCCGAAACACACCGACGCCUUUUGAAGUCUUGAGGAGCGACUAUUCUCUGGUA